rnacentral:rRNA from 1 species
GAUGAACGCUGGCGGCGCGCCUAACACAUGCAAGUCGAACGGUUAAAGCACCUUUUAGGUGUGUAUAAAGUGGCGAACGGCUGAGUAACACGUGGGCAACCUGCCCUCCUCUUGGGGAUAGCCUCGGGAAACCGAGGAUAAUACCCGAUACUUCAAUGUGGCCGCAUGACGACAUUGAGAAAGCUUUUGCGGAGAAGGAUGGGCCCGCGGCCUGUUAGCUUGUUGGUGGGGUAGAGGCCUACCAAGGCAAUGAUGGGUAGCUGGGUUGAGAGACCGACCAGCGGUAGUGGGACUGAGACCGGGCCCGGCCCCCUGGGGGGGGAGGGAGGGGGGAAGCUGGCAAAAGGGGGGAAGGCCGGAUGCCGCGAGCCCGGGGGGGGGGCGAAGGCUUUGGGUUUGUAACCCGUGUACAGCGGGGACGGGGCGAAAAGUGACGGUCCCUGAAGAAGAAGCCCGGGCAAACUACGUG